UCCAGGUCGGGCGUCGGUUCAUCAGGCUCCCCGCAGUCGCUGCAUACAGCCGUGAGCCCGGCCAGCUCGCGCGGCACGCUGGUGUCGCAGGGCGGACACGUGUACCGCAACGCGCGGCCCUACAGCAAGGCCGCCAAGCUCAGGUGAGUGACUACCAGUGUAGUCCAGGUCGGGCGUCGGUUCAUCGGGCUCCCCGCAGUCGCUGCAUACAGCCGUGAGCCCGGCCAGCUCGCGCGGCACGCUGGUGUCGCAGGGCGGACACGUGUACCGCAACGCGCGGCCCUACAGCAAGGCCGCCAAGCUCAGGUGACUACCAGUGUAGUCCAGGUCGGGCGUCGGUUCAUCGGGCUCCCCGCAGUCGCUGCAUACAGCCGUGAGCCCGGCCAGCUCGCGCGGCACGCUGGUGUCGCAGGGCGGACACGUGUACCGCAACGCGCGGCCCUACAGCAAGGCCGCCAAGCUCAGGUGAGUGACUACCAGUGUAGUCCAGGUCGGGCGUCGGUUCAUCAGGUCGGGCACACGGCCGUUAGUCCGGCCAGCUCGCGCGGCACGCUGGUGUCGCAGGGCGGACACGUGUACCGCAACGCGCGGCCCUACAGCAAGGCCGCCAAGCUCAGGUGAGUGACUACCAGUGUAGUCCAGGUCGGGCGUCGGUUCAUCAGGUCGGGCACACGGCCGUUAGUCCGGCCAGCUCGCGCGGCACGCUGGUGUCGCAGGGCGGACACGUGUACCGCAACGCGCGGCCCUACAGCAAGGCCGCCAAGCUCAGGUGAGUGACUACCAGUGUAGUCCAGGUCGGGCGUCGGUUCAUCGGGCUCCCCGCAGUCGCUGCAUACAGCCGUGAGCCCGGCCAGCUCGCGCGGCACGCUGGUGUCGCAGGGCGGACACGUGUACCGCAACGCGCGGCCCUACAGCAAGGCCGCCAAGCUCAGGUGAGUGACUACCAGUGUAGUCCAGGUCGGGCGUCGGUUCAUCGGGCUCCCCGCAGUCGCUGCAUACAGCCGUGAGCCCGGCCAGCUCGCGCGGCACGCUGGUGUCGCAGGGCGGACACGUGUACCGCAACGCGCGGCCCUACAGCAAGGCCGCCAAGCUCAGGUGAGUGACUACCAGUGUAGUCCAGGUCGGGCGUCGGUUCAUCGGGCUCCCCGCAGUCGCUGCAUACAGCCGUGAGCCCGGCCAGCUCGCGCGGCACGCUGGUGUCGCAGGGCGGACACGUGUACCGCAACGCGCGGCCCUACAGCAAGGCCGCCAAGCUCAGGUGAGUGACUACCAGUGUAGUCCAGGUCGGGCGUCGGUUCAUCGGGCUCCCCGCAGUCGCUGCAUACAGCCGUGAGCCCGGCCAGCUCGCGCGGCACGCUGGUGUCGCAGGGCGGACACGUGUACCGCAACGCGCGGCCCUACAGCAAGGCCGCCAAGCUCAGGUGAGUGACUACCAGUGUAGUCCAGGUCGGGCGUCGGUUCAUCAGGCUCCCCGCAGUCGCUGCAUACAGCCGUGAGCCCGGCCAGCUCGCGCGGCACGCUGGUGUCGCAGGGCGGACACGUGUACCGCAACGCGCGGCCCUACAGCAAGGCCGCCAAGCUCAGGUGAGUGACUACCAGUGUAGUCCAGGUCGGGCGUCGGUUCAUCAGGCUCCCCGCAGUCGCUGCAUACAGCCGUGAGCCCGGCCAGCUCGCGCGGCACGCUGGUGUCGCAGGGCGGACACGUGUACCGCAACGCGCGGCCCUACAGCAAGGCCGCCAAGCUCAGUUCUCAAUGGUCACUUUAGGCGAUUGUAUAGGGUCAGUAUGGGUUCGCCAAAUUAUGCACAAUUUCUGCACAAUAUACGAAAUACAUAAAGUUUAAAAUAGCAUAGCACAAACUUUAUACUUUUUAUAAUACAUGGAUGAAAGAGACAACGCUCUACAAAAGUUCAGCUUUUGGAUAUCGGUGUCUCUCUCAAGCAUGUGUCAGUAGAAUUAUUGUGUGCUGUACAUUUAGAAUGAUGCUAGAAAGUCAGCGACUUGCUGCGAAAAGAAGUUGUGGUUUUGUAUAAUUUUCUUAAUGAUUAACGACUUAAAAAUGGUAUCAUAAAUCUAUGGAACAUUAAAUCUAAUAAAACAAGAAUCUCAGAAACUUAUUUAUUUGGUAUUUAUAGCAGUCAAAAUUGAGGAGUCUGCAGUAUUUACAAGCAAAAGUAUUUUAGUCAAAACUAAAAAUUAUAAAAGAUGCAUUUACAUAGCCUCGGAUGUACAAAAUUGUGAUCGUAUUGUUUUGUCUUUUUUGUUAUUAUUUAAUUUUGUGUUACAAGUGACUUGAUUGUAUUUGACUUCUUAUUCAAAAUCUAAGUGCUUGCUUAGAUUUUUCUUUAGUUUAUACUUAUUUGAGUAUAAUUAUUACUUUUUUCUUUUUAUUUCAUCUUUCAUUCCACUUUUAAUGGAACCAACAAUAUUAUAUUAUGCAUUUAUGUAUAAAAUGUAAUUUAGUAUUAAAAGAUUAUUGCUUGUUUCUUUUUAUUUCAUCUUUCAUUCCACUUUUAAUGGAACCAACAUUAUUAUAUGCAUUUAUGUAUAAAAAAUAAUUUAGUAUUAAAAUAGUAAUAGACUAUUAAAAAAUGGUGAGAUCUUGAUAAAGGAAAAAGGAAACGAAGUACCUGAGAUGAGUGUGCAAGUAACUGAUUGUGAUAAUUAUGAUUUUAUAUUAUUGUAUAUCAUUUUAUUGUAGAAUUAUAAUUUUUGUGGCAAAUAUCCGCCAUAGCUCAAAUUAGGGUCAAGUAGUUCAUGACACCUAAAGUGGACAAAAAGUUGAUAAUACAACCUUAUUCCGUUGGAACAAAGACGUGUUGCGAACUUUUUGGCUUCUUUGGGUGUCACAAACUAUUUGACGCUGAAUGACCACGCCUUAAAUUUUUGGCCUCUUCUUUUGGGCCAGUUCUCUGUUUAACAGGGGAUAGGCUGGUUUUAGAGUCACGCUGACGCACGCUGACCGUCAGCGCUGACUGCCGAAAUGUAUGAAGCGUCGGCGCCGAGCGAUCAGCGUCACUCAGGAACGUUCCCUUCAAUUACAUACAAAUUGAUCUGUCAGCGCCGACGAUCAGCGAGCGGUCAGCGCGAUCUUAAAACCAGCCAUACAGUAUGGACACAAUAUGCGAACAAAACGUAUAAGAUAUGCGUAUUGGAGUUAUAAUAAGAGAAAGGCGAGUUCCCAGUUGUAUGGUUGUGACGGACAUUUGCCAUUGUUACAAACAUAUUGUAAGUAGAAUUUGACUUUAAUUUCGUUUAUGUAUAAAUAAAUGCAUUUUAAUUUA